rnacentral:rRNA from 1 species
GACGAACGCUGGCGGCGUGCUUAACACAUGCGAGUCGAACGGAAAGGCCCUGCUUUUGUGGGGUGCCCGAGUGGCGAACGGGUGAGUAACACGUGAGUAACCUGCCCUUGACUUUGGGAUAACUUCAGGAAACUGGGGCUAAUACCGGAUAGGAGCUCCUGCUGCAUGGUGGGGGUUGGAAAGUUUCGGCGGUUGGGGAUGGACUCGCGGCUUAUCAGCUUGUUGGUGGGGUAGUGGCUUACCAAGGCUUUGACGGGUAGCCGGCCUGAGAGGGUGACCGGCCACAUUGGGACUGAGAUACGGCCCAGACUCCUACGGGAGGCAGCAGUGGGGAAUAUUGCACAAUGGGCGGAAGCCUGAUGCAGCAACGCCGCGUGCGGGAUGACGGCCUUCGGGUUGUAAACCGCUUUCGCCUGUGACGAAGCGUGAGUGACGGUAAUGGGUAAAGAAGCACCGGCUAACUACGUG